AGAGUGCUAGCCUUGAGCAGAAAGAACUUAGGGAAAGCACCAGGCCUAAAGUUCAAGGCCCAGGACUGGCAAAAAAAAAAAAAAAAUAAGAGCACAAGGCCACAG